rnacentral:tRNA from 1 species
UCUCUGAUAGCUCAAGCGGCAGAGCAGCGCACUGUUAAUGCGUUGGUUCCAGGUUCGAAUCCUGGUCGGAGAG